GACGAACGCUGGCGGCGUGCUUAACACAUGCAAGUCGAACGGAAAGGCCUGCUUUUCCUUGUUGAGUGCGGGUACGCGAGUGGGUAACGGGUGAGUAACACGUGUGUGAUCUGCCCCCAACUUGGUUAUAAGCCUGGGAAACUGUGUCUAAUUCCCUAUAGGACUGCAGGGUGGUGCAGUGGGUGGAGAACGUGUUUCUAGUGGUUGGGGAUGAGCUCGCGGCCUAUCAGCUUGUUGGUGGGGUAAUGGCCUACCACGGCGGCGAGUGGUAGCCGGACUGAGAGGGGCGACGGCGACAUUGGGACUGGGAUCAGGCCCCGACUCCUACGGGCGGCAGCAAUGGGGCAUAUUGGGCCAUGGGCCGAAGCCUGAUGCAGCGCCGCAGUGUGGAAGAUCACGGCCUUCGAGUUGUCAACUACUUUCGAACGCGAGAAAGCCAACUGGCUAGACGCGUGGUGACGGUAGUGGUAGAAAAAGCACCGGCUAACUACGUG
rnacentral:rRNA from 1 species